AUGGAGGCAGAGAAGGUCCAGGCCGUAGGGGAGCCUGCAGGAGCUGCAAGAACAGCUGCACAAAGAGCAGAGGAGACCAGAGAGAAAAUAAUACACACUGUACGAGAAGAGACACAGGAGUGUGUGAGGAGGUGUGUGCAGGAUGCCGAGAGAAGCAUUCGUGAGGAGUGUGACAUGAAGGCAGAAAGAGAGAAACGGGCCCUACAGGACAGACAUGAAGAGGAGAAAUCUGAGCUACAAAACAGGAUGCAGCAGCUGCGGGACAGUCUGGAGCAGGCCUGCAGGGAGCGCAUUCAGUAUGAAGCAGAGUUUAAGAAGGUGCAGGCCAGCUACAGACGGUUUGUGGACUUGACCGAUUCCUCCCUCCACUCUGAUUACCUCUUAAAGCUGCGCAGACUGGGGAGAGAGCCAGGUCUCAUGGACACUGCGACACAGACUGAUGAGAUCACCUCCUAACUGUGAUCUUGUGAUGGCGGUGUUCUCACGUCACAACGUCUGGGUAUUUGACAUGUCCUGCAGUACAUGCUGUACUUGGUCUAAAAUCAUUUUUAAGCAUUUAUCUAACAUUUUCUAGAAAUUAAAGGAAUAUUUGUCAUUUGAAAAUAUAUUUGAUGCACUGCAGAAUUAUUUGAGUGAGCUUGAAAGUGGUUAGAAAUUAUGAAAACCAUCUAAAAUAUACUUUCCUUCAUACGUUUAUCUUCCUAAACUUUACAACCUAUUUUUUAGUUAUGAAAUGUGUUGACAGUUGCAUAAUAAAUAGGGGAAAAUGCAUAUAUUACUGUAUGUAUAUUAUUCCUGUUAUUUGCAGUAUAUAAAAAGUCUAAUGCUAUAUUAAAAUGUUAAUAGUUUUGUAAGAUUUAAGUGAGUACAGCAUAUUUUCUGUGUUGAACUAAUUGGUUUAACAGAUCAAAUUUUUAUAAAUAAUUCUGAAUAUUUAAUACCCUUAAUCUUAUUUUACAUUGUAGUGUAGUGAUUGACACUACUGAUGAACAACAUAUUAAAUAUGUAGUAAUGCCCUGGAGCAGCUUACACAUUGUUAGGCCUGUUUUAAUUACAUUAACAUGCAUUGUGUGUAUUGUUACCCACUGAUCCAAAUGUACAGUAUACUAGAUAUUUUCACUGGAAAUUGUUGUAUGAAAAAUAUAUAUAUGUGACCCUGGAGCAGUCUUAAGUAGCUGGGGUAUAUUUGUAGCAAUAGGCAAAAAUACAUUGUAUGGGUCAAAAUUAUAGAUUUUUUUUAAUGCCAAAAAUCAUUAUGAUAUUAAAUAAAGAUUGCAUUCCAUGAAGAUAUUUUGUAAAUUUCCUACCAUACAUAUAUCAAAACUUAAUUUUUGAUUAGUAAUAUGCAUUGCUAAGAAUUCAUUUGGACAAAUUUAAAGGCACUUUUCUAAAUAUUUAGAUUUUUUUGCACCCUCAGAUUCCAGAUAUUCUAAUAGUUAUAUCUCUUCCAAAUAUUGUCCGAUCCUAACAAACCAUACAUCGAUGGAAAGCUUAUUUAUUCAGCUUUAAGAUGAUGUACAAAUCUCAGUUUUGAAAAUUUGACACUUAAGACUGGUUUUGUGGUCCAGGGUCACAUAUGUACCCUUUCACAGCAAGGUUCCAUAAUGACAAAUAGGCACACAUAUUACAGGUAAGAAAAAUAAAAUAAUAAUAAUAAAAAUAAAAUAAAAUAUUGGUGCUGUUGCUAACUUGCUACACAACAAAUUUCCAAACAAAAUGACCUAGUUUACUAGACUCGUUAAAAAACCUAGCUAUUUAUCAACUACCUACAUCAAAUACCAUUUUCAAAAUGCCAUUUAAAGACUUUUGAUGAAUUGGUAUACAG
rnacentral:lncRNA from 1 species